UACGUAGGUGGCGAGCGUUGUCCGGAAUUACUGGGCGUAAAGGGUGCGUAGGCGGACCUUUAAGUCAGAUGUGAAAUCCCAGAGCUCAACUUUGGAAUUGCAUUUGAAACUGGAGGUCUAGAGUGCAGGAGAGGAAAGCGGAAUUCCUAGUGUAGCGGUGAAAUGCGUAGAUAUUAGGAAGAACACCAGUGGCGAAGGCGGCUUUCUGGACUGUAACUGACGCUGAGGCACGAAAGCGUGGGGAGCAAACAGG
rnacentral:rRNA from 1 species